CACACACACACACACAUCCUGUCAGUUUAGUUCAAGCCUUCAGGGAGGAAAGAUCCUUGAGGACAAAACACUUAUAAUUCACUUAAGGAAGAAUGAAAAGUGUGUUAAGUGUGGUGGUGGUGGUGGUGGUGGUGGUGGCGGUGGUGGUGGUGGUGGUGGAAGGAGGAACGGCACCAAAAUUACAAGAGAAACAGGUGUACAAGCGUCAGAUCUUCCGCGAGGCAGUGUUACCAGCGAAAGGAGGAAUCAUACCACUUGGCGCCUUUGCCCCAAGAAGACUGGAAUAUAAUGUUUUGGAUCAGCUGGGUGUAGAAUCGCCAGACGGAAGAGUGUUCAUACCGAGGGAAUUUGACAAUCGCCUAGGCCAGCUGGACCCUGAAGAUGAGGAAGAGCUGCUAAGACUGAUCCCAGAGCCGCCCUAUGCUGGGGAGGGUGUCUUGCCCACCACCUACCUCCUCCGGCGUCCAGUUGCCGCCCCGAUCCGCCCGCCCGCCCCGCCCGCGCCGCCAGUCCCGCCCCGCCCCGUCACCCGCCUCGCCCCAACACUGCAUUUCUCUCUGUAGGCGUGGCCGCGCACACCCACGCCCGCACACACCCAGAGAGAGAGAGAGAGAGAGAGAGAGAGAGAGAGAGAGAGAGAGAGAGAGGUGAUUUACAUGUGUGUGUGUUUGUGUUUCUCUGUUUAGUUUUCUUCUUCUUCUUCUUCUUCUUCUUCUUCUUCUUCUUCUUCUUCUUCUUCUUCUUCUCCUCCUCCUCCUCCUUCUUUUCUUUUUCGUUCUU